ACCAGACUCCUACGGGAGGCAGCAGUGGGGGAUAUUGCACAAUGGGGGGAACCCUGAUGCAGCGACGCCGCGUGGGUGAAGAAGCGCCUCGGCGCGUAAAGCCCUGUCAGCAGGGAAGAAAAUGACGGUACCUGAAGAAGAAGCCCCGGCUAACUACGUGCCAGCAGCCGCGGUAAUACGUAGGGGGCAAGCGUUAUCCGGAUUUACUGGGUGUAAAGGGGGCGCAGACGGCGAUGCAAGCCAGGAGUGAAAGCCCGGGGCCCAACCCCGGGACUGCUCUUGGAACUGCAUGGCUGGAGUGCAGGAGGGGCAGGCGGAAUUCCUGGUGUAGCGGUGAAAUGCGUAGAUAUCAGGAGGAACACCGGUGGCGAAGGCGGCCUGCUGGACUGCAACUGACGUUGAGGCCCGAAAGCGUGGGGAGCAAACAGGAUUAGAUACCCCUGUAAAA
rnacentral:rRNA from 1 species